GGAGGAAGUUAUAAAGAGGGUACGAGGGGGCCAGCUGGAGAGCCAUGCAGUCCAAGCGGGAUUGUGAGGUCCUGAUUUGUCCUCUUUGUUGGUUUUUAUUUGUGGGGAAGGGCAGCUGAGCCAAAGGGGUCAGAAAUUCUGCCCUUUGCCUCCACCACAUGGCAUUCUGGUUUUGGUUUCUGUAUAGUUUUGGGUCUUUCUAUGCUGGUUGUAUUUAUAUUAAACCCCUGGUUAGUAU
rnacentral:lncRNA from 1 species